GAGCCGCUCCGGCCGGGCUGGGGCGGGUGGGGGGCAGGGUGGCUGCCAGCAGGGUCCACGUGCUGACGGCCCAGACUCGGUGGCUUGAAACCAUGGUUCAUCCGCUCUCAAAUCUGCCACGCGGGCAGGGCUGGGCACGAGCCGGAAGGCACGGGAUGGGGCAGGUUCCCCGGGACGCACUCAGGCUGGGCUGCCCGUGGGCCUCUCUGCCGGGCCUGGGCUUCCAAAGAAUAGGCAUCGGGGUUCCCGCGGCAGGUGUCCCCGAGACAGCCAGGUGGCAAUUGUAUCGGCCUGUGUGACCCAGCCUCAGAAAUCACAGAGCAUGUCGUGGUCAUGCCACUUGGCAGAUGCCCCCAAACGCAGGCGGGGACAGACUCCGCCUCUCAGCGGGGCAGUGGCCGGGUUCUGGAAGGCCUGGCUGGAUGGGAAAGUGGCGUUGUGGCCUUUUUUAGAACCACGGUCGGCACACGCGUGGACCCUGGGCUCUGCGGCAGAAAGGACCCCAGAUUCACUCAGCCCACAGCUCCCCAAGGGGACCAGCCCUGCUCGGGGCUCUGCCCUCCGGCCUCUGCAGACAGAUGGGACCGAGACACCCCGUGUUAGCUUUCCACGUGCUGUGGUUCCCGAGGCGACCAGACAUAGAGAAGGCCUGAGCUCGUGGACUUGAGGAGUGGGGGGCGGGGGCGGCCCCAUGGCUGCCUGGGAGCGGGUGUGGGGCGGCCCUGGCCUCAUUCCCCUUCAUCAGAGGCUGAGGCACUUUUCUGACAGUCAAACCCCUUUUCCUUCAACGUUGGGUUUCUGGGUCGUUACCAGACUCCCUCCCCCCCUCCUUCACCUCCUCCACGAUUGUCCUUUCGGGAGGUCCCAGCCGGGUGAUUCUGGAAACAGUGACGUGGACCAGCACCCGAGCCGUCACUCUGAGCUCACAGUCGCUGAAUGUGGCUGUGAGCUGGCCAGCCGGAGACCCAGAGGAUGUCCCUGAACCUGCCCCAGGGCUUUCCUGAAACAUCAGUCUUCCAGGUCCACGGUGCCCUGCGAGAUGGCUCCAGGGCCCAGGGCAGGAAGCAGGGCCUCAGACGUCACCCUUCACCUCUAGUCCGGCAGCAGGGCCUACGAAGCCUUGCCUGGCCUGGGCUUUCCGCCACAGACAGAGGGGACCCGGGGCGGGGCCGUGUCCAGCGCCCAGAGCUCGAAACCUGCUGCGGCCACUCCCCUCCCGUGCAGAAAGCAAAGUCUCCCAGCUCUGGUCAAAGCGACAAGAAGGCCAAGUGGUGUUUGCUACCGAACCUUCCUGAAGGGGGUUGAGAUCACCUUUAAUUUCAGAGCAAAGGAGGACAGGACGCGGCAAGGGGGCAGGACCGGCUGCUGCCUCACCCUGACACUAGCUUGCUGUGUGGCUUCGGGGCCGGUCUCCCCUCUCUGGGCCUGUUUCCCUUCUCUCCUUCUGAUCGGACUCCACACGCCCUCAAGGUCCCUUCUGGCACAGACACUAUCUCUCCAGCUGGGCUGCGGCCUCUGCCCCGGGCCGUCCGAGGCAGCCCCCUGACCGCCCGCCCGCCCACCCACCCUCUCGGACCCCAGGCUCCGCCGGCCUCUGGCUGCAGCAGGGACAUCCAUCACUGCUCCGUGAUAGAUUAUCUGUCCCUCCUCCUGCCGCCGCUCUGCUAUUUUGGUUGCAGAAUAAUGUUUAUCCCUUCACACAACACUGGCACCCUCCCCCUCCUCCCUCUGUCCUUCCCGCGCUCCUCCCCGCUCCCUCUGUGCGUGCGCUCCCAGCAGAAAUCAGGAGAUCUGCUCCGGCUACUUUCAUGAUUUUAAUUUUCCGUUCUCCUUCUCCUCUCUUCCCCCUUAUUACAUUUUGGGCUCUUUCUGGGCUGCUGGAAGGAGCAUACAUUUUCCCGGUGAAGUUUUUUUUUUUUAAUAAAAACCAUCAUUUAUGAUUAUUUUUCUUUCCCACUGA